rnacentral:rRNA from 1 species
AGAGUUUGAUCAUGGCUCAGGACGAACGCUGGCGGCGUGCUUAACACAUGCAAGUCGGACGGUGAAGCCCUUCGGGGUGGAUCAGUGGCGAACGGGUGAGUAACACGUGGGAAAUCUGCCCUGCAUUCUGGGACAAGCCUUGGAAACGAGGUCUAAUACCGGAUACGACGCAUCUCCGCAUGGGGUGUGCGUGGAAAGCUCCGGCGAUGCAGGAUGAUCCCGCGGCCUAUCAGCUUGUUGGUGGGGUAAUGGCCUACCAAGGCGACGACGGGUAGCCGGCCUGAGAGGGCGACCGGCCACACUGGGACUGAGACACGGCCCAGACUCCUACGGGAGGCAGCAGUGGGGAAUAUUGCACAAUGGGCGAAAGCCUGAUGCAGCGACGCCGCGUGAGGGAUGACGGCCUUCGGGUUGUAAACCUCUUUCAGCAGGGAAGAAGCGCAAGUGACGGUACCUGCAGAAGAAGCACCGGCUAACUACGUGCCAGCAGCCGCGGUAAUACGUAGGGUGCGAGCGUUGUCCGGAAUUAUUGGGCGUAAAGAGCUCGUAGGCGGCUUGUCACGUCGGAUGUGAAAGCCCGGGGCUUAACUCCGGGUCUGCAUUCGAUACGGGCAGGCUAGAGUGUGGUAGGGGAGAUCGGAAUUCCUGGUGUAGCGGUGAAAUGCGCAGAUAUCAGGAGGAACACCGGUGGCGAAGGCGGAUCUCUGGGCCAUUACUGACGCUGAGGAGCGAAAGCGUGGGGAGCGAACAGGAUUAGAUACCCCUGUAGUCC